AUAUUGCACAAUGGGCGCAAGCCUGAUGCAGCGACGCCGCGUGCGGGAUGACGGCCUUCGGGUUGUAAACCGCUUUUGACUGGGAGCAAGCCCUUCGGGGUGAGUGUACCUUUCGAAUAAGCACCGGCUAACUACGUGCCAGCAGCCGCGGUAAUACGUAGGGUGCAAGCGUUAUCCGGAAUUAUUGGGCGUAAAGGGCUCGUAGGCGGUUCGUCGCGUCCGGUGUGAAAGUCCAUCGCUUAACGGUGGAUCCGCGCCGGGUACGGGCGGGCUUGAGUGCGGUAGGGGAGACUGGAAUUCCCGGUGUAACGGUGGAAUGUGUAGAUAUCGGGAAGAACACCAAUGGCGAAGGCAGGUCUCUGGGCCGUCACUGACGCUGAGGAGCGAAAGCGUGGGGAGCGAACAGGAUUAGAUACCCUGGUAGUCCACGCCGUAAACGGUGGAUGCUGGAUGUGGGGACCAUUCCACGGUCUCCGUGUCGGAGCCAACGCGUUAAGCAUCCCGCCUGGGGAGUACGGCCGCAAGGCUAAAACUCAAAGAAAUUGACGGGGGCCCGCACAAGCGGCGGAGCAUGCGGAUUAAUUCGAUGCAACGCGAAGAACCUUACCUGGGCUUGACAUGUUCCCGACAGCCGUAGAGAUGCGGCCUCCCUUCGGGGCGGGUUCACAGGUGGUGCAUGGUCGUCGUCAGCUCGUGUCGUGAGAUGUUGGGUUAAGUCCCGCAACGAGCGCAACCCUCGCCCUGUGUUGCCAGCACGUCAUGGUGGGAACUCACGGGGGACCGCCGGGGUCAACUCGGAGGAAGGUGGGGAUGACGUCAGAUCAUCAUGCCCCUUACGUCCAGGGCUUCACGCAUGCUACAAUGGCCGGUACAACGGGAUGCGACGCGGCGACGCGGAGCGGAUCCCUGAAAACCGGUCUCAGUUCGGAUCGCAGUCUGCAACUCGACUGCGUGAAGGCGGAGUCGCUAGUAAUCGCGAAUCAGCAACGUCGCGGUGAAUGCGUUCCCGGGCCUUGUACACACCGCCCGUCAAGUCAUGAAAGUGGGCAGCACCCGAAGCCGGUGGCCUAACCCCUUGUGGGUGGAGCCGUCUAAGGUGAGGCUCGUGAUUGGGACUAAGUCGUAACAAGGUAGCCGUACCGGAAGGUGCGGCUG
rnacentral:rRNA from 1 species